GGGUUGUGGCUCAGUGGUAGAGCAUUUGCCUAGCAUGUGUGAGGCCCUGGGUUCAAGUGUCAGCACCCG
rnacentral:tRNA from 1 species